rnacentral:misc_RNA from 1 species
UCUUUUCUUUUGAUAAAAGAGUUUUUAAAGUCAGUGUUAUUUUUUUAAGGUUAAUAGAAAUUUAUGUAUUAAGCUUUUUAUUAAUGAUAUUAAAGCGCUCUAUUAAUUUUAGAUCAUUUUGGGGGUUUAGCUCAGUUGGCUAGAGCAUCGGCUUUGCAAGCCGAGGGUCAAGGGUUCGAGUCCCUUAACCUCCAUUUGGCAUGUGUCUUARAUUGUGAUUAAGCAUGUUUUCAAGAACUUUGUUAAAGUAAUUAUUUAAAGAUGAAACAGAGGAAGUUAGAAUUUCUAGGGUAAGGGUGGAAUCUUUUAAUGCUAAGAAGAAUGUCUAGGAGUAAAAGCAAACCCUUUAUAAAAAUUUGCGUUGUAUCACUAAAUAUAAGGAUUAAACAGGAUUGCAUUUUCCAGUAUCCUAUUCUAUAGACGACCUACAUUAAUUCCUAAAUAAAAGUCCAUAAUGAAUGUGGAUUGUUAAGCGUGAUGUCUGGGUGGCAAGUUUUGUAACGAGUCGCAACCCUUGUUGUCGUUACCACCACGUAACGACAGGGAUUUGCAUAAGUCCUUAGGUUAUAAGUAGAAGGGUAAGGGUUGUGUCUGAGUCGUUUCUUUUAUGUUCUAGGGUUACGCGCUUGCUAUAAUGGCCUUUACAAAGCUAAGAGAAAUAGUGAUGUGAAUCAAAAGCUUAAAUCGGGUCUCAGCAUGGAUUGCAUUUUGAAAUUCGACUUUAUGAAGUUGUAAUCGCUAGUAAUCGUAUAUCGGAAUGAUACAGUGAAUGCGUUCUCAGUCCCUGUACACACUCGCUCGUUACAUCGUCCGAGUAUGGGGGGAUGCCCGAAGUAUUAUUCUAACCCAUAAGGGAGGAAGGUAUUUUAAGGUAUGUUUAGGGAAGGGUUUGAAGUAGUAAUAAGACGAUAGUACUUUCCAGCAUGGCUAGAUUGGUCUCUUUUUAAUAGAAAGAUAAAUUAAGGCUAAUUUUAUUGAUUAUUCUUUGUGCUUUUAUUUUUAUUAAAAAGUUUUUUAAAUCAAGGUAAAUUUUUAGUUUAAAAUUUAGAAAAAAUAAACCUUUAGUAAGUGUUUAGUAGUAUUUAGCUUCAGCUUCAUAUUUAAUUAAGCUUUGUUUGUAAGUAGAAUUUUAGAUUUUAGGGUGAAGGGGUUUUAUAUUAUUAAUUAUAAAUUUUAAAUCCAAUGGAACGAGAAUUAUCUCUAUUAAAAAUUAAAAUUACAUAUUGUAAUGCAAGUAGGUCUCAAUAUAGAGAUUGAAUAAUUUUUAAUUCUCAUUAAUUAUAGCUUAAAGCAGUACUGCCGUACUUAAAACAACGAAAUGCAUUGGGACCAGGAUGAGUUGAACAUCCGACCUCAGGUUUAUCAGACAAA